rnacentral:tRNA from 1 species
CGCGAGAUGGCGCAAUUGGCAGCGCGUCGGGUUCAUACCCCGAAGGUUGCAGGUUCGAGUCCUGCUCUCGCAACCG